ACGGCAGCAGAGCUUUAGAUGCCUGGUUAGCUCAGGCUACGGCUAACCGGCUACUGGCGACAUGCUUAGCGCCGGUGCUAACGGCUAGCGCUGCCCAGCCAGAGGGUCGCGAUCUUUACCAUGAACUAGAGUGGAGAGACCUGAUGUGGACUGUUAUCAACAGCUCUGUGGGAGAUUAUCACCUUGAAUAUUACAGAUGAGAUGAAGCACUGCAGCACCUGAUGUCCUCAGCAGCAAUAUAGUUGGGAUCGGCAGCUUCAGGCUGGUCAACAUGAGGAUGACUGCACCAGUUUUCAUCUACACUUCAUGUUUUCCUCCAUUAACUAAAGUUGGCCUGCAACUGUUUAGAACUGGCUGAGUGUCAUAGAUAACAGAGUUAAUUUCUGUAUUAAUUAUGGUUGGUUAAAUAAAUGAACACUUAUUAGAACAAUGUUUAUCUUUUGCUUUCUGAUUUAAUACACUUUAGAUAAGAACCCAGCGUACAAAGUUUGUAUCCUUAUUUUCUGUGGAUAUUUUACUAUGUAUUUGAAUAUGCUUUUGGAUUAAACUG